GAGGCAGGGGCACCGCUGGACGCGGGCCAUGCGCCCGAAAACCCACCGCCGCCGGGGUCCCGGUCCACCACCGCCACAGCCCUCAGAGCCCCCGCCCCUGGGGUCCCAGCAUGGCCCCAAGGUCGGGGAUCCGGCCCCCGCCCCCUCGGGUUCCAGCACAGCCCGGAAGUCGGGGAUCCGGCCCCCGCCCCCUGGGGUUCCACCACAGCCCGGAGGUCGGGGAUCCAGCCCCCGCCCCCUGGGGUCCCGGCACAGCCCGGAGGUCGGGGGUCCCGCCCCGCCCCCUGGGGUCCCAGCACAGCCCGGAGGUCGGGGGUCUGGCCCCCGCCCCCUGGGGUCCCGGCAUGGCCCCAAGGUCGGGGAUCCGGCCCCCGCCCCCUGGGGUUCCAGCACAGCCCGGAGGUCGGGGAUCCGGCCCCCGCCCCCUGGGGUUCCAGCACAGCCCGGAGGUCGGGGGUCUGGCCCCCGCCCCCUGGGGUCCCGGCAUGGCCCCGAGGUCGGGGGUCUGAGCUCACACCGACUGUGCCUGUCUGACGCUGGGAAAUUUCUCUGGGCCCAUG